CCAUGCCGAAUAUACCGGUUCUCGUUUAGAUCACCGAAGUCGAAAGCAUCAUUGGCCGCGAUCAGUACUUGGGCGGGUGACCACGUGAGAACGC